UUUUUUUUUUUUAUAAAGAUUUAUUUAUGAGAGACAGAGAGAGAGAAGCAGAGACAGAAGCAGGCUCCAUGCAAGGAGCCCCAUGUGGGACUCGAUCCUGGGACUCUGGGAUCACUCCCUGGGCCAAAGGCUGACGCUAAACCACUGAGCCACCCAGGGAUCCCUCAUUCUCUGAUCUUCUAAACUUGCAGGUACAUGGGGAAACUUUAAAAAACAAAGCAAAACAAACAAACAAACAAACAAAGCACCCAGGCUCCACCCCGCAAAUUAGAUCAUGCCAUUUAUGCCUGGCAUAAAUAUUUCUUUCAAGUACCCGAAGUUAUUCUAAUGUCCAGCCAAGAAGAAACCAGUGUAAUAGUCUCCUUCUACAUGUGCUUGUCUCAGCUCACAGAAUCACCACGUGGAAAUGAAUGUCCUGAAUUAUUAUUUAGUGGCUAAUAAAUACAGGAUUGAUUUAAUUAUUGUUCCCUGGUGUUUACUCAGUGAGGUUGGCUUGCAGAUUCUGUUUUUCCUACACAAUUUUUUAAAACUUUAAUUCAAAGCCAAGAACUGACAUAUAUUUUUUCUUUCCUAUUUUCUGGUUGCUGAACCCAAUAUCUCCAGUAAUGUACUUGCCUUCCUGUUAUAAUUCCUCAUGUACAUAAAACUGGUUAUCCUGUAUAAAUUGCUGGUAGAAGUCAACGCAUUAAAUAGGUCGACCCAACACUUUCUGCAGCAAACUUUGUCUUCUACCUAUGCUCACACAUACUGUUGUCCCACUGCUCCCCAAAUGCAAUCUCAGGCUAGCUUCUCCCCAGCACAGGCAAGCCGACCGCAAGCGAAGAAAUGACUACCGCCCAGUCUUGAAUGAAAAGAAGCACCAACAACAUCCAGGAAAUUGUUUAACUAGUCAACAAGUAAUUCUGCAUCUACUAUGUCAACACUUUCUUAGGCCUGAAAUGUUUCAAAGCACUUCUAAAGACCUUCCCUUGUCUGAGUAUCCAACAUCUAUGUAAAGUUGGUAAAGUGGGUAUUAGCCUCAUACUAGGAAUGAGAAAACCAGGGCAAGAUUAAAACUCUGGCCUCCUGACUUCCUUUCCAAGAACUUUUCCAUUCCAAUAAUUCUUAUUCUUAUAAAAGCAUUAUAAAUGCUAUAUAAAAAUAUUUUACAUUAUAAACACUUGGAGGGAAAAAUAACCACACUGAAUGACCUGAGUACCCUAAAACCAUCAUUACUGUUUUGGUAUGUCUUUUUAUUUUCCUAGGUUUAAAAAAAAUGCAAUCAAAUGCAUACUGCAUAUUUAAAAUUUUAUAGUUUUGCUAGAACUUUGUCAGUUUGUAUGGCUUUGGAGUAAUUAUAUGGUUAGAAUGAGAUUCUAAGAACGCAUACCUCUCGGAGGUGUUUGUUCUGCUGUGUCAAAGCAAUCUCUCAAUAGGGCAGAAUGCAAGGAGAAACCAGACAAGGAAAACAGGACCCAUGUGAAAAAUUCUGUGGUCUUGGACUUGGAAGGGAGUUUAUAUUACCAUUGUGUUCUGACUGAAUUAGGAAAGUGAGAUCUGCACAAAUUAAGGGCUUGCUCUUUAUCAAGUAGGUAGACAGUGUUUAGCUAGGACCAGACUCCAGUUUCUCACCCCUACCCAGGUGGUCUUACCCCUAGUAACUUCCCUAUCCUAGUAGUACUAGGAGUGCAGGACUGUGCCACCAUUUGCCAUUCCCAAGUAAAUCUACCAGGCCCACAGACUCUGGUGUUGGGAACACAGGACCUUUCCUCUUGAGUACAGCUGACAGAAUCUAGAUGAGCAUGUAAUCAAGGGCAGCCAAUCCAAGGGUUGGCUGGAAACUUGCAUGGCCUGGUAUGGGAAGAGGAGCGGAGUCAGAUCCCACACUUCAGAAUCUGAAGGGAAAAAAGAAUCAGAGUCACAUGGUGUCACGGUACACAGAAACUUAUGGGAGCCAAAAGGUACAGAAAAGAUAGAAUAUGCGAACAGGUUAAAUGGAAGCAAAAGAUGGCAGGCAAAAAGCUGAGACAUCAAUCAUGUGCUUCCAUAGAACAGCACAGGUUUAACCCUCCAUUUCUGGUUGGUCCUGUACACCUUUCUUGGUAGUUGCUGUACUGACGCCUUUGGUGUGUCAGCCUCUGUGCUAAGAUUCUCACAUUGGCUUCCUUUCCCUCUGAGCCUUAACACCUCUGAGACACAGAUAUCAUUCUAUUUUACAGAUAAGGAAACUAGGCUCAUGAUGGUUAAGUAACAUAUGUUCUGAUGAUGCCAGGACCCGAAUACAGGUCUGACUCACAGUCUAUGCCCAUUAAGCUAUACUCACCCACGUGUGUCCUUAAGUUAACGUUCUGUGCACUCCCCCAUCCUCCUCCCUCCUCCACUCCCUGCCAGUUUGACCUAACUUGAGGUCCUUUCACUUGUAAGAGCCUGACGCUUCCCUCUUCUAAGAAUGUCUUGUAUGUAGACUCUGUGAGAAGUGAGUGCUUCCGUUGUAGAGUGAACAGUAUAGGGUCGAGGUAUCCACCAAACAUCUGAUGAUAAGGGUUCCUCAUCUGUAAGCCAUUAUGGGAAAGACUGGCUUUUACUUAUUGCUACUGAUCAACCCUCAGACAGCUUUUUGUUGUCUAACAACAAAAAGGGAGGGGGAGGAGGGUGGCGGGAUAUGGGGAGGAGGGUGGCAGAGGACAGGGGUGUUUUGACUCUCCUCAGAGAAAAUAUGAGCACAAACUGGGUUCUCCAUCCCAUUUGGAGUGAAUAAAGGAACUGAAACAAUGAACAUCUGUUAUUCCCCAGUAAGCCAGAGGGUCUGGUUGAGAUAGGCAUGGUCACCUGGCUUUCUCCAAAAUGCUCCAAAAAGAAGCCCAGUAGCCUCCAAGGAACUCUGCAAUCCUUAUUACUAAUGAUGAGAAAGUUAUGUAAAGACUGCUCUAGCCAGAGCCUAGCUUUGGUGUUUCCAAUAUCAAAUAUCCAGCAAAAAGGAUCAGAGACUUUUCUCACUUUCUAGACAAGCAAUCAACUUCCAUUUAUUUUCACAUCUGUGGCUGAAACAGAGGCUCAUCUAAUGGUGACAAUGAAAUACUUAGUAAGCAAAGAGUGAAUCUGGUUAUAGUCCAUAUCUCAAUCUACUCCGAGGAGAUAUGCUUAUUUGUGUUGUGUGACAGAUGUCUUAGCCCAGGGGGCAGACUGAUGAAGAGCACAUUUCUGGGUUCUCCUGUCUUGUCUGGUCAUGACAACGAAUCCUCAGGUACUUCAACUGCAGUUAAAUGGACAGUUUCUCUCAGGAACCCUCGAUGGACAAAGUUUCUCCACACAUUCAAACCUUCCC
rnacentral:lncRNA from 1 species